rnacentral:rRNA from 1 species
UGGGGAAUAUUUCACAAUGGGCGAAAGCCUGAUGCAGCAACGCCGCGUGAGCGAUGAAGGCCUUCGGGUCGUAAAGCUCUGUCCUCAAGGAAGAUAAUGACGGUACUUGAGGAGGAAGCCCCGGCUAACUACGUGCCAGCAGCCGCGGUAAUACGUAGGGGGCUAGCGUUAUCCGGAAUUACUGGGCGUAAAGGGUGCGUAGGUGGUUUCUUAAGUCAGAGGUGAAAGGCUACGGCUCAACCGUAGUAAGCCUUUGAAACUGGGAAACUUGAGUGCAGGAGAGGAGAGUGGAAUUCCUAGUGUAGCGGUGAAAUGCGUAGAUAUUAGGAGGAACACCAGUUGCGAAGGCGGCUCUCUGGACUGUAACUGACAC